rnacentral:rRNA from 1 species
GCAUAAUCAAUAGUUUUUUAAUUGAAAGCUGGAAUGAAAGGUAGAAAUCUAAAAAGGAAGUUUUAUUUUAUAAUUUUGAAUUUUAAUUAAAAGUAAAAAUGCUUUUAUAAUUUCUUGGGACGAGAAGACCCUAGAAGCUUUUGAAGUAAAUAAUAUUUUUAUAUUGGGGCAAUUAUUGAAGAUAUAAAUUUUUGUAAAGUUUUAAAUAAAAGAUUAUGAAGUUACUCUAGGGUUAACAGCGUUAUUUAAUUAACAAGUUCUUAUUAAUAAUUAAGUUUGCGACCUCGAUGUUGAAUUAAUU